CAUCUUUCUUUUAUGGCUGAGUAGUAUUCCAUUGUCUAUAUAUACCACAGCUGCUUUAUCCAUCCAUCCAUCAGUAGACAUUUAGGUUGUUUCCAUAUCUUGGCUAUUAUAAAUAAUGCUGCAGCGAACAUGGGGGUGCUUCCAUUCUUUACGGAAAUCACUUCAGUCAGGCUUUCACCCCCACUACUUGUCAAGGUUAGCAUGACUCCCUCAUUAUAAUAUCCGAUGGUUAGUACUCAGGCCUUGUCUUACUCUGUUUAUAAGCAGCGCUUAAUGCGGUGGAGGGCCUCACACAUAAUUAUUUAAUGGUUUGUGGGUGCUACGUGCCACAGGGUAAGUGAGAUGAAGAAAGCUCAGUAUGACAGGGCAAGAAGCCCUGUGAGCACUUGUGAUGAAUGUGCUAAGUCCUAAAAUAGAAGUAUAUGCAAAGAACUAAGGAAUUAUGCUCAUAUGACCCAGCGAUUCCACUCCUAGGUAUAUACCCAAGAGAAAUAAAAACAUAUGUCCACACAAAAACUUGUACAUGAAUGUUCAUAGCAACAUUAUUCCUAAUAGCCAAAUAGUGGAAACCAUCCAAGUGCCUACCAACUGAUGAACAGGUAAAUAAACUGUGGUAUAUCCAUACAAUGGAAUAGUAUUAAGCUAUAAAAAGUAAUGAAGGUCUGAUACAUGCUACAACAUGGAUGAACAUUUAAAAUGCUAAGCAAAAGAAGCCAUGCAAAAGAGACCUCAUGUUAUGUAACUGCAUUUAUACAAAAUGUCCAGAAUGGGCAAGUCUAUAGAGACAAAAGGUAGAUAGGUAGUUGUGUAGGGCCGGGAGGAGGAUGUUGGGGGUAGAGGGUAAGGGUGUGACUCUAAUGAGUCCAAGGUUUCUUUUGGGGAUGAUGAAAAUGUUCUAAAAGUGUUGUAACUGUACAACUCUGUGAAUGACUAAAACCUUUGAAUUGCACACUUUGAAUGGCUGGAUUGUAUAGUAUGUGAAUUAUGUCCUAAUAAAACUGUUAUUAAAAAAAAAAAAAA